AUGAGAAAAAUGGAAGCAGGUAAGUCUACCAGAUUGAAAGCCAGAAUUCGUAGGGAGGAAUAUAGUGUAACUCUGGUUCCUUCUCUUGUCUCCAAUCAACCAUUGAACACAGAAAAUCUGAUAUUUGGCAUUGGACAGUUAUAUUCUGCUUGCAUAACCGUUUCGGCCUUCACACUCAGGAUUGGCCAACACAUGUAA